GCACUGUCAUGCCCGGCAGUACCUGUGCUAGACAGGCAGCCCUUGCUGAUGUUAAUCAGCACCUGUCUCUCCUUUUGCAGGCUAAGAAAGCUGCAGGAGGAGCAGGGUUUCUCCCUCUGCUGGCAGCCCAGAGCCGUCAGUGGGGCCAAUAAACGCAAUAAACCAUUUCUGUAAAGUGCAAAUGAAGAGGGAUUUGGAGGAUCUGAAACAGCCAAAACCUGCUGGAGCACAGGAAACCAAGAACACAGUGAUGGCCUUGCCUUCCACUGGGAGGAGCCAGGCCAUCUUGCGGCUAGGAGAGACCAACACUAUGGCGCGAAGGAGACCAUCCCAACGUUUCUACCUUCCGCGCAUUUUUCCACUCCCUUUGUUGACGGGAUUUGUACAUGCUAUUAAAUUGCCAGUGCCAAGAAUCAACGUGAACCCAUUUCCACCUGAUUCUGACAUGCCAGCAUCACAAAAUACAUUCAUCUCCAUGCAUCAGAAAGUCCAGAAAUAUUUCAUCCCCAAAGUUCUCACUUGCAGAUAGCUAUCCCUGAAGGCAUGGCUAGCCAAGAUGGCUCUGCAUUGACCGGACUCCCAGACUUGAUCAUUAGCAGAGGCCAUUGAACGAGAAUGAUAAUGGGCUCUUCUAGGUCUGGCUAUAAGGAAACUAAAUAAACUAUAGUCUAUAUAUAUGGUAAAGAUGAGA
rnacentral:lncRNA from 1 species